GACGAACGCUGGCGGCGUGCUUAACACAUGCAAGUCGAACGAAGAGCGACGGAAGCUUGCUUCUCUCAAUCUUAGUGGCUAACGGGUGAGUAACGCGUAAUCAACCUCCCCUUCAGAGGGGGACAACAGUUGGAAACGACUGCUAAUACCGCAUACGAUCUAAUCUCGGCAUCGAGGAGGGAUGAAAGGUGGCCUCUACAUGUAAGCUAUCACUGAAGGAGGGGAUUGCGUCUGAUUAGCUAGUUGGGGGGGUAACGGCGCACCAAGGCGAUGAUCAGUAGCCGGUCCGAGAGGAUGAACGGCUAGAUUGUGAGAGAGACAGGGCCCAGACUCUUAGGGGAGGACGCAGUGGGGAAUCCUCCGCAAUGGAGGAAAGGCUGACGGAGCAACGCCGCGUGAGGGAUGACGGCGCUCUGGUGGUAAAGUUCUGUUAAUCGGGAGGAAAGGCCUUCUUGCGAACAGUGAUAAUAAUGGCCGGUACGGGAAUAGAAAGCCCGGGUAAACUACGG
rnacentral:rRNA from 1 species